GACGAACGCUGGCGGCGUGCUUAACACAUGCAAGUCGAACGGAAAGGCCCUGCUUUUGUGGGGUGCUCGAGUGGCGAACGGGUGGGUAACACGUGAGUAACCUGCCCUUGACUUUGGGAUAACUUCAGGAAACUGGGGCUAAUACCGGAUAGGAGCUCCUGCUGCAUGGUGGGGGUUGGAAAGUUUCGGCGGUUGGGGAUGGACUCGCGGCUUAUCAGCUUGUUGGUGGGGUAGUGGCUUACCAAGGCUUUGACGGGUAGCCGGCCUGAGAGGGUGACCGGCCACAUUGGGACUGAGAUACGGCCCAGACUCCUACGGGAGGCAGCAGUGGGAAAUAUUGCACAAUGGGCGGAAGCCUGAUGCAGCAACGCCGCGUGCGGGAUGACGGCCUUCGGGUUGUAAACCGCUUUCGCCUGUGACGAAGCGUGAGUGACGGUAAUGGGUAAAGAAGCACCGGCUAACUACGUG
rnacentral:rRNA from 1 species